AUUGAACGCUGCGGCAGGCUUAACACAUGCAAGUCGAGCGAGCGGCGGUCGGGUGAGUAAUGCUUAGGAAUCUGCCUAUUAGUGGGGGACAACAUCUCGAAAGGGAUGAUAAUACCGCAUACUAAUAGAUGAGCCUAAGUCGGAUUAGCUAGUUGGUGGGGUAACGGCCUACCAAGGCGAUGAUCUGUAGCGGGUCUGAGAGGAUGAUCCGCCACACUGGGACUGAGACACGGCCCAGACUCCGACGGGAGGCAGCAGUGGGGAAUAUUGGACAAUGGGGGAAACUCUGACCCAGCCAUGCCGCGUGAGUGAGGACGGCCUUAUGGUUGUAAAGCACUUUAAGCGAGGAGGCGUUACUCGCAGAAUAAGCACCGGCUAACUCCGUGCCAGCAGCCGCGGUAAUUC
rnacentral:rRNA from 1 species